UUUCAAAAUCCUUUUAUCACCUAAAUAUCAUAACCACGUUCACCAUAAUUGCUAAAAAGAUGGUGUGAACCAUCGAAAUCGGUUGUUUUAAACAACCCCUCAACCUCUUUAAGUUACCACACAUUCAUAUAACAUCAUCGCACAACCUCCAAACUUCCAUCCUUUUGAGUCCAAAUCUAGGUCGAGGCAACCGAAGAUUUGUCACCGUUGCACCACCGGUUGAGAGCUCACAACGACUUCAAGUUUCGGUCUAUGGAACACGUCUCCGUUUGAUUAUUCGUAAGCUCAAAGUCAUUGGUUCGGUCAGAUCUAUUUGGUAAUUAAGCCAUCGCACACCCUCUAGUUUGAGCAAUCGCGGCCGCUGCCGUAUUCUUUUCUCGUCUUCGUGUGACCCGACCAGACGUUGAUACCGACUCUGACACACCAAAGUUUCUGCAUAGUAUUUGAUUCAGUUCCAUCUACUCCCAUUCUCUCGAGGCCUUGGUGGUAAUUAGCGACGUCGUUGAGUCUUGUGCUAUUAUCGUAUAAGCUAAGCUAAUGUACACAUUGCUUAUAGUACUCAGGGGAACAUGGGGAAAAAUGCGAAGAGAGAAAACUAAAUGGCUAGAGUUGAAAAUAAGGAGUUUAAAUAAAAUGCUAUUUAAAUUUUAGACAUUUCUAUUUUCGUUA
rnacentral:lncRNA from 1 species